CCCGGUGACUUGAGCGAGAGUGUUCUACCCCUUCCCAUUCCGAACAGGGUCGUAAAAGCUCUCAGCGCUGAUGGUACUCCAGGUUUGACUUGGGGGAGAGUAGGUCGUUGCCGGGA
rnacentral:rRNA from 1 species